UAACCCACAAUUGCACACUAAACAGAUCCUAAAGGUUUUUUCUAGCUGAUAAUGAAGUUCUUUUGGACAGUGAUUGAUGUGCUAUUAUACUCUCAGAGCCUCGCAGCAGUUGCCAUGGAAACUUGGCAGUCGUCAUGGUUUCUUUGUUCUGCCAGCACAGUGUUAUGACGCACUCUGCUAGGUCUGCACCCAACAUCGCCUACAGAUGUUAUUUAUUGAAUUUUGAAAAGCCUCUUGGGAAGCCAAGAGGUUGGGCACGGUUUCAAGCUGCCUCUGCAGAUAUGGGGCCUGUCAGUUUGUUCAGUUAAAAAGCUACCUCAUUAGCUGCAUUACAUUUCAUAAGGAUUCACUGCUAAAGCAGUGGUGGAACAAGACUAAAUAAUGAAAUAUAAUGUCGUUUAAAUAAUUUCAGCCCUAUCACAUGUAGAUUAUCAUUAUGCAAAUUAAUUUCUAAAAGGUUGUACUUAACAGUUGUUAGGAACUGAUUAAUUUAAAUCCUGCUUUUAUAAACUUACUCUUUGAACCUAUCUUUUCUUCUCUCUCCCUCUUUUUUUCUGGGGAGACGGAGGUAGCAUAAAAUAUACAUACAUUUUCUGAAAUAAAAUAUCAAUAAUUGGAUUUAAUUUCUAGGUCCUAAUUCUGUUUUUCUGAUAUAAGUGUUAUCCUGUCAAGAUUCAAAACUCCAUGUGGUUGUUGUUGGCAAAACUGAGAUAACCGUGUUUUUUAUCUGUAUAAUACCCCUCUUCCAACUGAUUGUUAGAAAACACUGACUAAUAUGAACCCAGGUUAACUGACAGAGAAUUAACUAAGUUGGAGUUGUUUAUGACUAUGAUAUUUAUUGAGUGAACUAUGUAGAAUGCUGUGUUCUUACAGCAACUUAAAGUGUUACAGGGUAGUAAUUUUUAAAAAUUUAAUCUAACCACAGCCGAAAUGUAGGAACUUUCUUUUUAUUUGCAUAUUCAGUAUUGUCUAUCAAACAGGGAAGAGGUGAGUGGUGAUUGAAUAGUAUCAGUAAGGACUAGUAAGCUCACUUUGAACUCUAGAGAAAGAUAUUAUAUGAGUUUGUGAAACUCUUUUUAAAUGUAGUAAAGGCAGAUUAUCAAGCAGCAAAGUAAUACAUGUUCAUGUUAUUCAUGUCAUCAGACUUGACAAACGAGACAUAGAGCUUCCUCUUCAUAGAGGAAAGACAAGGAACAUGUGAUACAGAUAUUCUGUUCUGAAGAUCCUAUAAAAGAACUACUCCAGAGUAGGGAAACUUGCUUCUUUGUACUCAAUUAUUAGGAGCUGUGAUAGUUUCUUACAAGUUUGCUUUUUUAUGCUUUACCAUAUUAUAGUAAAUCUAGGUUUAAGUCACAUUUAGAAAAAGGAUUUCCAAGUGGUGGGUUUUUUUCUAAUUUAAGUUUCACAUUUUAAUUUCCCAAACUGGCAAUUAUAUGUAGGACAAAAUGUAAUCAUGGGAAUAUUCAAUUAAAAAGUCAAAUGUUUUGAUCAUGAGAAUAUAAAUAAAAAUUUUCAGGAAUUUUUUAAAGUUUUACUGAUUUUAAGUUUUAAUAUUACAAAAAUUAUAUUAUCUGUUGAUACAUCAGAAUUCUCCAUAGAAGAAAACUUUCAGAACAUACAUUUGUAUCCUGUCAGUUUACUGUGUUACCAUAAAAAAUGUAUUUUUGGUUCUAUAAAAUAACCAAUUUUGCAGAUACUUAGAAAUAUAAUUUGUUAUAUAACAUGAUCAUGAUCCUGUAGUAUCUACAUAGCAGUUUUUAAAAAAUAGUUUAUUAAGCCUGAUUAAUACUUUUAUUUCCCCCUUGAGCUACUUGCUUUUCAUGUGCCUGGUUUACAUUCAGUCAUAGCAACAAACUACUUUUUCUAUUUUCCAUUAACUAGCACUAUAUUCACCUUUCCAUUAGUUCUUACUUACUGAUUCUUGAAUUGUUUUUGCCAUAAAUCUGCCAUAAUUGAUUACAGCAUAUAAGCAAAAUGAUAAUGAUUAUAAUCACAUACCUUAUUACCUCCUGACAUAGCAAAACUGCUCUGUCAGUGAUAUUGACAGUGAUAUGUUAGACUAAAUAAAGCACAUAGUGUCUUGAUGUGUCUCUUCGUAGAUUCCCAAAACCAUCACAAGCAUUGCAGAAUAUAUUUGAACCAUGAGUAGGGUACCCUCAAAUAGAUAUUUUUAAUCAAAUGUAAUCCAUGUAUGGAACACUAUCUAGAGAAAUUCAAUGAUUUUAUAAUGUCACUAAAGUUUCCUAGGUCAUUAGACAGAAAUGGCAGAGCAUAGGUUUGAAACUUGGUAUUCUUAAGGAAUAAAACAAAAAUAAAUCACUUUAUCUUAAUAGUUUUCUGUGUGAAAAUGCAUUAAUACUCUUGGCUAGUGUGACAAACUAGACAAAAAUCUGCAUUUUAUCCCUUCUAACUUUAAUUUUGACUCUAAAUUUGGAGCAUGAAUGAGAAGAAAGAAGUGAAAAGAUUAAAAGAAAGGAAAGCCCCUGACUACCCAGAAGAUCCUAGACUUGUAGUCUUUCUCUGACCAAUGAGGAUUCUUUCAUCUUACACCACUGAAAGAGAAAAGUAUGGAAUUGUGCUAUCCAAUACAGCAUCUACUAGCCACAUGUGGCUAUUUAAAUUAGGAUUAAUUAAAAUUAAAUAAAAUUUAAAAUUCAUCACUUCUUGGCCUUUUGGCUAAGAUCAAAUGUAAAAUUUUAAAUUCAGUCCUUCAGUCAUACUAGGCACAUAUUGAGUACUCUAUAGACUAUGUAGCUAAUGACUACUUUAUUGGAUAAUGCAGGAUAGAACAUAUGCAUCAUCACAGAAAGUUUCAUUGAUCAGCAUGGAUAGAAAGUCUACAGAGAAUGUAUUCAGGCAGUGUUGAUUACCAAAGAAUUACCUUAGGUGACUUUUAGGUUCCUGUGUUCUUCACAAAUAUAAAUAGUGCAAUGAAUGAUCACUCAGAGUUUCAGAGUUUCUGAAAAUAAGACCCUAAAUCAGGCCCUGCUGGCUAAGAGAGUGCAGUGUUGUUUUUGUAGGUGCCUGAACCCCAAAAGAGGACAAUUUUAGAACAGUUCAGUUAAGGGAAAGCAAUAAGCUAGUCUUCUAAUUCUCUUCAUUUAAUCAUUUAUUUAUUCAACAAAUAUUUACUGAGUUCUUACUAUGUACAUACCACUUUGAUAGACCCCAAGACAAGGUGGAAGUGACCAGAGAGUGUACCAUGAAAGAGCAUGUGGGAAGGGUUCCCAUUUUAGCUAUGAUGGCUAUGGAAUGACCCUAAAAAUAUGAAUAUCUAGCAAUGACAAAAAAAAAGCGACACAAACAGCAAAACAAAUUUCAAACAGAGAGAACAGGACUAUAAAAGUCUCUGAACGAGAGAGAACUUAAUGUACUAUGUACUCCAGGAACUGACAGAAGGCCAGUGUGACUGGAAUGGAGUUAGUGGGGACAGCAUAUGAGAUCAAUCUGGCACUGACACAUCAUAUAAACAGCAUAACUAUUAAAGGAGUUUCUAUUUGGAAAACAAAACAAAAUGGUAUGGCUAGAUGACUCAAUGUGUGGAAACACUACAGUUGGUUUUCUACAGAACUAGGUAGACUGUGACAGGAUUGCUUAACCUUUGUAUAACCAGCUGGUUAAAAAUAGAAUAAAGAUUUUCUUUAUCCAGUCUAUCAUUGAUGGGCAUUUGGGUUGGUUCCAAGCCUUUGCUAUUGUGAAUAGUGCUGCAGCAAACAUAUAUGGGCAUGUGUCUUUAUAUCAGAAUGAUUUAUAAUCCUAUGGGUAUAUAUCCAGUAAUGGUAUUGCUGGGUCAAAUGGUAUUUCUUGUUCUAGAUCCUUUAGGAAUCCAGUUCAUGUUCUUUGCAUGGACAUGGAUGAAGCUAGAAACUAUCAUUCUCAGCAAACUAACACAGGAACAGAAAGCCAAACACUGCAUGUUCUCACUCGUAAGUGGGAAUUGAACAAUGAGAACACAUGGACACAGGGAGGGCAACAUCAUACACCGGGGCCUGUUGUGGGGUGGGGGGUUGGGGAGGGAUAUCAUCAGGAGAAAUAACUAAUGUAGAUGACAGGUUGAUGGCUGCAGCAAACCACCAUGGCACGCGUAUACCUCUGUAACAAAGCUGCAUGUUCUGCACAGGUAUCCCAGAAAUUAAAGUAUGAUUAAAAAAAAUUUCUAGUAAUAGUAACACUACUAGUAAUUCAAAUGAAGUGUGUGUAACAGAAGAAAUAAAAAAAAAAUUAAAAUGCUACAUCUGAAAAUACCUAUUUCAUACAAAGCAAGGAGGUAAAGAAGGGAUAGAACAUAUUUUUUUAAAAUAUGACAUAUGGAAAACAAAUAGCAAAUGGCAGAUAUUAAUUCAACUGCAUUAAUAAUAAUGUUAAUCUGGAGUAAAUAAUAUGAUAAAAAGGCAGAAAUUCUCAGACUAGAUAAAAAAACUGAGGUCUAACUAUAUGCUGUCUGAAAGAGAUGUAUCUUCAAUUCAAAGAUACAAAUAGGUAAAAAAAAAAAAAAAGAAUGAAGAGAGUAUGUUCUUUGAUUUGGAAGACAAUGUGAUCACCAAUGACAAUAAAACCAUAUUUCUACAUUUAUAAAAUGCUCACAGUUUAUAAAACCUUUCCCAACAUAUCAGUAAUACAUUCAUACUUGCACAAACCUUGAGAGAUAGGUAGGGCAUGUAUUGCCAUAUCAGUUCAACAGAUUAAAAAAAUAGGCUAUAUGGCCGGGUGUGGUGGCUCCCACGCCUGUAAUCCCAGCACUUUGGGAGGCCAAGGUGGGUGGAUCACCUGACAUCAGGAGUUCGAGACCAGCCUGGCCAACAUGGUGAAACCCCAUCUCCCCUUAAAAUACAAAAAAAUAGCCAGGUAUGGUGGCAGAUGCCUAUAAUCCCAGCUACUUGGGAGGCUGAGGCAGGAGAAUUGCUUGAACCAGGAUGUGGAGGUUGCAGUGAGCUGAAAUUGCACCAUUGCACACCAGCCUGGGCAACAAGAGCCAAACUCCAUCUCAAAAAAAAAAAAAAAAAAAAAGGCUCUAUGACUUUUUCAAAGUCAUAUAGCUAAUACAUUAUGUAGCCAGAACCAGAGCUCAGCUCUCUAUGUCUGGUGCUCUUUACUAUAAAGCACACAGCUUUCUCUCACACAUUCUAACAUGUUGGAAGAGGAGAUUAGAUUUCAAAA